ACACACACACACACACACACACCUACAAACACACACCACGAACAGGACACAUGCUGUUUAGGACCGGAUCAGACAUGCAGACAUGGACACACACUGUCCACACACUCGAUCAGCAGGUGCUCAGGUGUACAGACACAAACUGCAGCUGCGAGUGUUUCCUGCCUGAACCAUUCGAUCUGAGGUCAUGUGAACGCUGCAAACACGGCUGGGUGAUGCACGCUCUCAGUAAGCUGAGUGUGUGUUCAGAUCAGGUGGAGGUUGUUCACUCAGGUGUUGUGUGUGACCUCAGUGCUCUGAUCCUGUUCAGUACACACGCCUUUCCCAUCAGGAUGAAGAUUCUCCUGGACAGACUCUUUAGUGUCCUCACACACCAACACGUCCUCAACAUCCUGCAC